UACGUAGGGUGCAAGCGUUGUCCGGAAUUAUUGGGCGUAAAGGGCUCGUAGGCGGUCUGUCGCGUCGGCUGUGAAAACCCGGAGCUCAACUCCGGGCCUGCAGUCGAUACGGGCAAACUGGAGUGUUGCAGGGGAGACUGGAAUUCCUGGUGUAGCGGUGAAAUGCGCAGAUAUCAGGAGGAACACCGGUGGCGAAGGCGGGUCUCUGGGCAACAACUGACGCUGAGGAGCGAAAGCGUGGGGAGCGAACAGG
rnacentral:rRNA from 1 species